rnacentral:rRNA from 1 species
GAUGAACGCUAGCGAUAGGCUUAACACAUGCAAGUCGAGGGGCAGCACAAGGUAGCUUGCUAUCUGGGUGGCGACCGGCGCACGGGUGCGUAACGCGUAUGCAACUUGCCCUAUACAGGAGGAUAACCUGUCGAAAGACGGACUAAUACUGCGUAUGCUCACAACUUGGCAUCAAGUGGUGAGGAAAGAAAUUCGGUAUAGGAUAGGCAUGCGUCCCAUUAGCUUGUUGGUGAGGUAACGGCUCACCAAGGCAACGAUGGGUAGGGGAACUGAGAGGUUUAUCCCCCACACUGGUACUGAGACACGGACCAGACUCCUACGGGAGGCAGCAGUGAGGAAUAUUGGUCAAUGGGCGCGAGCCUGAACCAGCCAAGUCGCGUGAAGGAUGACUGUCUUAUGGAUUGUAAACUUCUUUUAUACGGGAAUAACAAGAGUCACGUGUGACUCCCUGCAUGUACCGUAUGAAUAAGCAUCGGCUAACUCCGUG